rnacentral:sRNA from 1 species
GCGUUAUAUGCCUUUUGUCACACAAGUUACACUGUUGCUGUGUGUCCUUAAUUUAUUUUUAGUCAUUUAUUAAAUUGACAAGCCCGAAUAAUUAUUCGGGCUUUUUUUAUU